rnacentral:rRNA from 1 species
CCUACGGGAGGCAGCAGUGAGGAAUAUUGGUCAAUGGACGAGAGUCUGAACCAGCCAAGUAGCGUGAAGGAUGACUGCCCUAUGGGUUGUAAACUUCUUUUAUAUGGGAAUAAAAUGUUCCACGUGUGGGAUUUUGUAUGUACCAUAUGAAUAAGGAUCGGCGAACUCCGUGCCAGCAGCCGCGGUAAUACGGAGGAUCCGAGCGUUAUCCGGAUUUAUUGGGUUUAAAGGGAGCGUAGGUGGAUUGUUAAGUCAGUUGUGAAAGUUUGCCGCGCAACCGUAAAAUUGCAGUUGAAACUGGCAGUCUUGAGUACAGUAGAGGUGGGCGGAAUUCGUGGUGUAGCGGUGAAAUGCUUAGAUAUCACGAAGAACUCCGAUUGCGAAGGCAGUUCACUGGACUGCAACUGACACUGAGGCUCGAAAGUGUGGGUAUCAAACAGGAUUAGAUACCCGUGUAGUC